UAUGACAUUCAAAAUGCACAUACAAAUUUAAAGUAAUUUAAUCAUACAUCACAUGCAUAAAUAAAAAAAACACCCUAAAAUGGACUGAUUUUUGGCUCCUAAAUUAAGCUAAGUGCUAAAUUAUUACAUAAUUAAUUUGGUGUAGUACAGAACCACUCCCAAAAAUUUCGAACCGGCUAAAAAACCAACCGAACCGCUUGAACCGGCCCAAAAACCAAAUUUAUUGGCUUGAACCGGCCCAGGCGCACACGGGUCGUGCGAAGGCAGGCGCGCGGGCGAAGGCGGGCGCGCGGGCGCAUGCGGGCGCGCGGACACAUGCGCGCGCGGCGCGCAUGCAGGGCGCGCGGCGCAGGAGGCGCGCGGGCGCAGGAGGCGCGGGCGCAGGAGGCGCGCGGCGCAGGAG
rnacentral:lncRNA from 1 species